UACAGAGGGGGCAAGCGUUGUUCGGAAUUACUGGGCGUAAAGGGCGCGUAGGCGGCCUGUUAAGUCGAACGUGAAAUCCCCGGGCUCAACCCGGGAACUGCGUCCGAUACCUGGCAGGCUUGAAUUCGGGAGAGGGAUGUGGAAUUCCAGGUGUAGCGGUGAAAUGCGUAGAUAUCUGGAGGAACACCGGUGGCGAAAGGCGGCAUCCUGGACCGAU
rnacentral:rRNA from 1 species